UGCGUAGGGUGCAAGCGUUAAUCGGAAUUACUGGGCGUAAAGCGUGCGCAGGCGGUUGUGUAAGACAGAUGUGAAAUCCCCGGGCUCAACCUGGGAACUGCAUUUGUGACUGCACAGCUGGAGUGCGGCAGAGGGGGAUGGAAUUCCGCGUGUAGCAGUGAAAUGCGUAGAUAUGCGGAGGAACACCGAUGGCGAAGGCAAUCCCCUGGGCCUGCACUGACGCUCAUGCACGAAAGCGUGGGGAGCAAACAGG
rnacentral:rRNA from 1 species